rnacentral:rRNA from 1 species
UACGUAGGCAGCGAGCGUUGUUCGGAGUUACUGGGCGUAAAGAGUGGGUAGGCGGUUCUCUAAGUUCCGUGUGAAAUCUCCCGGCUCAACCGGGAGGGUGCGCGGAAAACUGGAGGGCUUGAGUAUGGGAGAGGAAAGCGGAAUUCCUGGUGUAGCGGUGAAAUGCGUAGAUAUCAGGAGGAACACCUGCGGUGAAGACAGCUUUCUGGACCAUCACUGACGCUGAGACAUGAAAGCGUGGGUAGCAAACAGG